GACGAACGCUGGCGGCGUGCCUAAUACAUGCAAGUAGAACGCUGAAGAGAGGAGCUUGCUCUUCUUGGAUGAGUUGCGAACGGGUGAGUAACGCGUAGGUAACCUGCCUUGUAGCGGGGGAUAACAGUCAGAAAUGGCUGCUAAUACCGCAUAAGCGCACGGAACCGCAUGGUUCUGUGUGAAAAACUCCGGUGGUAUAAGAUGGACCCGCGUUGGAUUAGCUUGUUGGCAGGGUAACGGCCUACCAAGGCGACGAUCCAUAGCCGGCCUGAGAGGGUGAACGGCCACAUUGGGACUGAGACACGGCCCAGACUCCUACGGGAGGCAGCAGUGGGGAAUA
rnacentral:rRNA from 1 species